rnacentral:rRNA from 1 species
CNUNCCCUCUUACCAUGCAGUCGAGCGGCAGCACGGUGUACUUGUACCUGGAUGGCGAGCGGCGGACGGGUGAGUAAUGCCUAGGAAUCUGCCUAGUAGUGGGGGAUAACGUCCGGAAACGGGCGCUAAUACCGCAUACGUCCUACGGGAGAAAGUGGGGGAUCUUCGGACCUCACGCUAUUAGAUGAGCCUAGGUCGGAUUANCUAGUUGGUGAGGUAAUGGCUCACCAAGGCUACGAUCCGUAACUGGUCUGAGAGGAUGAUCAGUCACACUGGAACUGANACACGGUCCAGACUCCUACGGGAGGCAGCAGUGGGGAAUAUUGGACAAUGGGCGAAAGCCUGAUCCAGCCAUGCCGCGUGUGUGAAGAAGGUCUUCGGAUUGUAAAGCACUUUAAGUUGGGAGGAAGGGCAGUUACCUAAUACGUGAUUGUUUUGACGUUACCGACAGAAUAAGCACCGGCUAACUCUGUGCCAGCAGCCGCGGUAAUACAGAGGGUGCAAGCGUUAAUCGGAAUUACUGGGCGUAAAGCGCGCGUAGGUGGUUUGUUAAGUUGAAUGUGAAAGCCCCGGGCUCAACCUGGGAACUGCAUCCAAAACUGGCAAGCUAGAGUAUGGUAGAGGGUGGUGGAAUUUCCUGUGUAGCGGUGAAAUGCGUAGAUAUAGGAAGGAACACCAGUGGCGAAGGCGACCACCUGGACUGAUACUGACACUGAGGUGCGAAAGCGUGGGGAGCAAACAGGAUUAGA